GGGCGCCCACCGGGCCCUGGACUCCGCAGUCCCCACCCUGUAGCCAACUUUCUCCAAGAGCCACAUGCGGGUCUUUGGAUUCAGGCAGAGCUGCUCCCUUGAGUGAGGACUCAGAGUGCUGCCUCCUCCCCUCCCUCUGCACCAUUGCUGCCACCCCUCGAGAACUUCUCAAAUGACCCAGGGGCCGUCUCUUGCUGGUGCCGUUGUAGAAGGACACUUAAGAGCCUGGGCAGUACAGAGUGCUUUCCUGGGUCCACGCCAGCUGGACCUUUCCUCCAGCCCCAGCUCCAGAUCCUGGACCCCUAGCUUAGGCCUGAAGCCGGCCAAAUCUUUCACCUGGCCCCUGGAUGCCAACACCCAGCAUGACUUUGGAGGUCAGGUGCAGGAUAUGGUGGAGCUUUGUCAGCGAGGCUCCUGAAUGACUCCUAGACACCACCAGCUGGACUUUCUUUAAUGACUUGUACUGCAGCAGGCUCGAACCACUGAAGAGCAGCGUUAUGGGCUAAUUCAUCUUCAUUCUACUCACGGAUGGUUGAUAUGGUUUGGAUAUUUGGCCUCUCCAAAUCUCAUGUUGACAUGUGAUCCCCCAUGUUGGAUGCAGGAGUGGUUUGGGUCAUAGGCACGGAUCCGUCAUGAAUGGCUGGGCACCCUCCCCGGAUAAUGAGUGAAUUUUCACUGUGUUAGUUCACAGGAGAGCUGGCUGUUUAAAGGGCCUGGCACCUCCUCCUCCAUCUCUUGCUCUCUCUCUUGCCGUGUGACAUACCUGCUCCCCCCGACCGGACUGGAAGUUCCCUGAGACUCCACCAGAAGCUGAUGCUAGUGCCAUGCUUGUACAGUCUGCAGAACCGUGAGCCAAAUAAACCUCUUUCCCUUAUAAAUUACCUGGCCUCAGGUAUUUCCUUUAUAGCACUGCAAAAUGGACUACAUUGAUGGAUACAGUCCCUUCAUAAACAGAAUCUGUAUGUCUUUUUUUUUUUUUUUCAUUUAAAGGUUUAUGGAAAAAAAAACAAGGUGGAUCUAGAAUCAUAAGAUUUUAAGAAAACCAAAGCAGUUGACAGAUGAGAAAGCUCAGUUAUAGAUGCAAAUUUACAACUAAAAUACUAUGGUAGUACAAAAAUACAUUUAACUGUAUGUCAUCUUUCACAAGAUAAAAAUCUUGCAUUAAAUCUGUUGCACAUAUGCUCAUAAAAAUGUUCUUUAAGGUCAAGGUAAAUCACUGCCUCCGAAGCUGACAUUCCUCCAUUUUUGCUCCCUUCUUUCCCCACCCCUUCUGCUCUUGGUAGGACCGUCAUGCUCUGGAAGCAGAAGGCUGAGCUCUGGAGAGACAGGGCUUGCAGGAGGGGCGUGAGCUGCCAUAGCUAAAGGGUGGGCACAUGUCCCCAGGGGAGCCAGCAGGGACCCUCAUUUUCAUUAAAAUAAUUCAUAAUUGUACAUACACUGUUCAGGGUAUGAAUACUGCUCUAAUAGAAGAUGUCCCAAGUUCGAUCCAUGAGCUGCAAAGCCACCCUAACCUGUGCAGGCAGGCCAUGAGUCAUAUCUUACUCUGUCCCAAGGUUGCUUCCUGUAGCAAGUCCAGGAAGCCAGGAGCCACUAGGGCCAAGGGGACAGACCCAGUUCCUAACAUGGAAAACAGGGUGGGAGGACUACUGAGGGACCCAGUAGUCUUUGAUGCUGGUGCUGCUGUCACCUCUGCUGUGUCUCUACCCACUGUGUCACCACCCACUGUGGUGGGUGUCACUGUGGUGGGUGUCAGCGGGUGUCACCACCCACUGUGGUGACAGAGGCACAUCCCCCACUGAGCCCAUCUUUCCUCCACACUUAUGGCCACCUAAGCACACCCUUGCCUCCAUGAUAACAGCCACCAUGACUUUUUGGGGAUGGGGUGAGAAGAGGAAGUUCCUCUCCCAAGAGUGAGGCUCCCUUCUGGGUGCUCCCACCAGGUGGGCCUGGGUCCGCACUGCUAUGACACUCAACAGACAGCUUGUCAGCUGUGGUCACAUAUGCAUGGCCACCUCCUUGCAUUCAGACUCUGUCCCCAAAGGCUGAAGGGGCCCAUUUUGGAGUCCAGCCACCUUGUGGCCCUGACUCUACAAACCCUUCUCCUUCUGGCUCUUGCCCACUGCUCCUGCCUUUUUCUGCCCUGGUCCCUCCCAUGGGAGCCCUCCCCCCAUGCCACCCAGAUACUUCCAGACACAGUUCAAACACUUUGAAUCUGGAGAUCUUGGUCCUUUCCCUCUUAGAAAGACCCAGGAUGCUUGUGCAAAUCACCCCUCCCUGCCUCUGCGAUUGCUCUCCAGCUGCACAAACCAGCAGUUAAAGGGGGUGUGCGUGGGAAGAAAUGUGACUUGGCUCUACCUGUCCCUCUACCUGCCCGACAAGAUUCCAUGACUGGGGACAUAAACAGGGAUAAGUCAAUAAGAAGUGGCUAAAUCACCUGGAAAAAUGCUUUGAAGUAUUUACUCACCAAGCACUUCACUGUUGAUAUGUUGAGCUUAUCUCCUCCAUUGUCCUGUAAAUUCCUUGACUACAGCUAUGCUUAUUUACUAUUCAAGCUCUGAACACUUAACACAUUUCUGUGUAUUUUGUGGGUUCAGAAGUAUGCUGACCUGGCUCCAAACCAAGGUGGGCAGAGUGACCAUAAUGGUAAACGUGUACAUGGGAUUACCAGGUACCCUUCUAAUUAUUUUAUAUUUGUUGACUCACUUCAUCCCAUGACAAUCCUAGGAAACAGGGACUAAUGUUACUUCCAUUUUGCAGAUGAGGACACAGGGGUGCUCAGAGGCGACCUAACUUGCCCAAUGGCACAGAGCCAGGACUGGAACCCAGGCGUCGAUCUCCCAAGCCCAGGCUCCGACUUUCUUUCACUGUAACAAAGACCGACGGGACAUGGGCUGCCAGAGGACUCCUUGGAGGCAGUCUAGGCAGGAUGAGGAGCCACCAGAAAAAGGACCAAGAGUUGCCGAGUUCUCCCACCAGCCAGAGGCUGUAACUCAUGGCCCAAGGGUCUCCUUACAUGAGCACGGAGCCCAGCCCUGGCCAGCAGAAGCCAAGUUUCAGGGACAUUUGGACACAGAGACAGAUAUGCACAGAGAGAAGAUGAUGUGAAGACACACAGAGAGGAUGACAUGUGAAGAUGGAGUGAUGCAGCUACAAGCCAAGGAAUGCUUGAAGCUACUAGAAGCGAGGAGAGACACACGGACCAACCCCUUCCUUAGCACCCCCAGAGGGAGAACAGCUUUGUUGACAUCUUGAAUUUGGACUUCUGGCCUCCAGAACCGUAAGACAAUGAGUUGAUGCUGGUUUAAACCACCCAGUUUGUGGUGCUUUAUCAUAGCAGCCCUAGGGAACUCAUUCAGCACACUUCCAGUGACAACUAUGGUGCAGGGAACACGCAACAACCUAUGUUAGAAAUGGUACAGUAGUUUAAUAUCUAGAAUCCUAGACAACAGAUGUGAGGUAUCCAUUCCUACAGGAACUGGUUGUGUUUCCUACUCGGAAGAAAAAGAU